GAUGAACGCUGGCGGCGUGCUUAACACAUGCAAGUCGAACGGUGAAGGCGGAGCUUGCUCUGCUGGAUCAGUGGCGAACGGGUGAGUAACACGUGAGCAAUCUGCCCCUGACUCUGGGAUAAGCGCUGGAAACGGCGUCUAAUACUGGAUACGAGCUGCGAAGGCAUCUUCAGCAGCUGGAAAGAACUUCGGUCAGGGAUGAGCUCGCGGCCUAUCUGCUUGUUGGUGAGGUAACGGCUCACCAAGGCGUCGACGGGUAGCCGGCCUGAGAGGGUGACCGGCCACACUGGGACUGAGACACGGCCCAGACUCCUACGGGAGGCAGCAGUGGGGAAUAUUGCACAAUGGGCGAAAGCCUGAUGCAGCAACGCCGCGUGAGGGACGACGGCCUUCGGGUUGUAAACCUCUUUUAGCAGGGAAGAAGCGAAAGUGACGGUACCUGCAGAAAAAGCGCCGGCUAACUACGUG
rnacentral:rRNA from 1 species